UGACUGAAACUGCAUUUCUUUCACUCUGGCCGCGGACGCCAUCCAUGAGAGAGAGUCGAAGAGCCUCGGAGCAUCGAGAGGUCGGGGGCGUUUGUGCGAUUAUUCGACAAGAAAUGAAUACUCCCUGCUACUGCUGUGCCACUUGCAGCUGUGCACUUGUCUGGGUGGCAUGAGGUAGCUGCUACAGAUCAGUUCAGACGGUCACGUGAGGUCAACAAGCAACAUCACAGCCACCAUGUCGCCCUAUAAACCAUAUUGGAUCGACCUGAUACAGAAGCCCUUGUCUGAAGACUGUCUAUAACCUCGCGAUUGUGAGAUUAAAAAUCGGACUUGCUUGUAGUGGACCGUCCGGCUGUCACCAUCGCUAAGACUGGAACUGACGGUGAUUCUACUAAUAGCACCAUGUUGAUGGUUGACUUCUAGCGGUGUCAGCCUGAAGUACAAUGGGAACAGGCUCGUCAAUGGACAAGUCGAGGGACAAGUACCAACUCGCGGUUGGACAGCAAGGACAGCACAAGAGCUCACCUCCCAGCACUGACCACUGCCUGACUUUCUUUGACCUUAGUGAUAGCCGCAGGCAAUCUGUAACACCGCGAAACGUCCCGGACAUGACUCAAGGCACAGAAAAGACCAAUAGUGAUUUACUAUCGCACCAGUCCGGGACAUACCCUACCGGGACAGAACCGACAAGGCCAAAAAUAACACCCAUCACUUUACGUCAAUGAUGAUACUUGUCCACACUCACAAACGAUGACUGACAAUGUAACGUGCUUUGAAUUUUGGGCAUUGUUCAUGUUCAAAGCUGAGCUGGUAGGAUGUCACGCACAGACCUUCAACUAGUGAAACAAGAGUUUGGAGACUUCGUACCUGCAUGAAAUAUUUAUUUUGUAAAUUUCUUGUUUUAUCUUGUCUCUGUAAUUAUGCAAAUUUGACUGCAAAUUUGACAAACAGACACACCCCUCAUGGUAAAUGGCAUGGCCCACUCAGAGGUAAACUGACCCUUAUGUAGCCCAGGGCAACAGAAACCUUCCUCUGGAGAUUAUCUCUAUGCUACUAUGCGCCUCUGUAGUGCCUUCUUUUAAUUAACAAUUAAAACCAAACAGAUGUAGGGUUACCUCCCAAUUAACACAAAAAUCAACAUUCUGUACCAGGUUCAAAGUCAAUUAGGCCCAAAAUCAAACCUGACCGUCUGGCCACCACACUGAAACAAUCUACCAAAUACCAUCGCAAUAGCACGCUGCGUACUGGAGACAUAUCGCCGGAAACGCACCAAAACACACAAUUUAUCACAAAACACGAACCUUAAAACUAAACCUGCAUUUUGAUGCAGGAAAUGAAUCGCGCCUUGCAUCAGUCAAGGUCUGCGUCUUAUUGAUUAAUAUAAGGUGGAUAGUUGGGUGAUUAGGGUGUGACGUUGGCAUUACUGUAAAUAAAGCUAUGCUGGUUAGCCCCUUA